UACGUAGGGGGCAAGCGUUGUCCGGAUUUAUUGGGCGUAAAGAGCGUGUAGGCGGCUUGGAAGGUCAGCUGUGAAAACUCGAGGCUCAACCUCGAGACGUCGGUUGAAACCACCUGGCUAGAGUCCGGAAGAGGAGAGUGGAAUUCCCGGUGUAGCGGUGAAAUGCGCAGAUAUCGGGAAGAACACCCGUGGCGAAGGCGGCUCUCUGGGACGGUACUGACGCUGAGGCACGAAAGCGUGGGGAGCAAACAGG
rnacentral:rRNA from 1 species